rnacentral:tRNA from 1 species
GAGGGGGGGUUAAACCAACAAGAACUGCUAACUCUCGUAUCUGAGCCUAAAACCUCAGCCCCCUCA